rnacentral:rRNA from 1 species
GCAAGCGUUACUCGGAAUUACUGGGCGUAAAGCGUGCGUAGGUGGUUUUUUAAGUCCGUUGUGAAAGCCCUGGGCUCAACCUGGGAAUGGCAGUGGAUACUGGAAAGCUAGAGUGCGGUAGAGGGUAGUGGAAUUCCCGGUGUAGCAGUGAAAUGCGUAGAGAUCGGGAGGAACACCUGUGGCGAAAGCGGCUCACUGGACCACAACUGACGCUGAGGCGCGAAAGCUAGGGGAGCAAACAGG